UACACCACCAGCUACGGGACCCUUUUACGAAGAUGUGGAGGUGAUUCAAGAGACACAACCCGAAGUUAGUGUUUCGUCUCCGCAAAAAGAGAAACGAAAACAUCGGAGGAAACAAACCGAGGAGCCGAAGAAACACUCCUCCCAAGUCAAUUGGUCGGAAGCUGAAAGUUUGGCGUUAUAUCGAGCUUGAGUUGAUGUAUCCGAGGACCCCAAAUGCGCAAAUUAUCAAAAGGCUCGAACUUUUUGGUUGAAGGUUCAAGAAGGAUAUCAUAAAAGCUUGAAUAGAUUGACAUAUCGAGGCAUUGGAUCGUUACAGGGGAAGUGGCGGAAAAUUCGGGUUAACAUCACCAAGUUCAAUGUGUUUGAGGAGAAGUUUGAAGUGGGAGGUUAUA